rnacentral:rRNA from 1 species
UGUUUCGGCUAGGGGGCCAUCCCGGCUUACCAACCCGAUGCAAACUGCGAAUACCGGAGAAUGUUAUCACGGGAGACACACGGCGGGUGCUAACGUCCGUCGUGAAGAGGGAAACAACCCAGACCGCCAGCUAAGGUCCCAAAGUCAUGGUUAAGUGGGAAACGAUGUGGGAAGGCCCAGACAGCCAGGAUGUUGGCUUAGAAGCAGCCAUCAUUUAAAGAAAGCGUAAUAGCUCACUGGUCGAGUCGGCCUGCGCGGAAGAUGUAACGGGGCUAAACCAUGCACCGAAGCUGCGGCAGCGAACGUAUCACUUAAAGCGAUUCAGCGGGUUACGAUUGACGGAGCGAAGCGACGUCAAAGCGUAUACAAAGUCGAGUCGGUUUAAGGAUACGUUCGUUGGGUAGGGGAGCGUUCUGUAAGCCUGCGAAGGUGGCCUGUGAGGGUUGCUGGAGGUAUCAGAAGUGCGAAUGCUGACAUAAGUAACGAUAAAGCGGGUGAAAAGCCCGCUCGCCGGAAGACCAAGGGUUCCUGUCCAACGUUAAUCGGGGCAGGGUGAGUCGACCCCUAAGGCGAGGCCGAAAGGCGUAGUCGAUGGGAAACGGGUUAAUAUUCCCGUACUUGGUGUUACUGCGAAGGGGGGACGGAGAAGGCUAUGUUGGCCGGGCGACGGUUGUCCCGGUUUAAGCGUGUAGGUGUGUGUUCCAGGUAAAUCCGGUUCACUUUAACACUGAGGCGUGAUGACGAGGCACUACGGUGCUGAAGCAACAAAUGCCCUGCUUCCAGGAAAAGCCUCUAAGCAUCAGGUAACAUCAAAUCGUACC